GCUAGCCUCGGGGAUACCCGACGAGACGCGCCGUACCGGGUCAGGACAAGACGACGCACC
rnacentral:ncRNA from 1 species